rnacentral:rRNA from 1 species
CCUACGGGAGGCAGCAGCGAGGAAUAUUGGUCAAUGGCCGAAGGGCUGAACCAGCCAAGUCGCGUGAGGGAAGACGGCCCUACGGGUUGUAAACCUCUUUUGCCGGGGAGCAAAGGCGGUCACUGGUGACCGGAUGAGAGUACCCGGAGAAAAAGCAUCGGCUAACUCCGUGCCAGCAGCCGCGGUAAU